CACCGCGGUUAUACGAGAGGCUCAAGUUGUUAAACACCGGCGUAAAAGGUGGGCAAUACAUUAAUUUACUAGAGUCAAACGCCUUCCAAACUGUUAUACGCUGCCGAAGACAGGAAGCCCUCCCACGAAAGUGACUUUAAAUAAUAUUACCCCACGAAAGUCAGGAAA
rnacentral:rRNA from 1 species